rnacentral:lncRNA from 1 species
CCGUUUUCGAGGACAAACUGAGUCGUGUCCAGCGUGACAGUUGCGAAACGAUGACGAGCUGAAUAGGUUCUACGUAUGUGCAGGUUCACAAGACAAGCGAAUCGAUGCUGCACUACUGCUUCGCCCACUGCGCUUAUCAUUUCAGCAGGUUGCUGCCGAAGACCCGGCGGCUCAAAUUUCAGAUUCCUGUUCUUGCGUCUGCGAGCCUCCUCGUGGGCCCUCAGUUCUACGUCCUCGCAAGGCAAGUACAGCCGGCACGGCGAGAAGGGAACGGGUUGUUUUCUCUGCGCUGCUCCUUCACGUCACACGUGUGAAGAAGUUGACUUGAAUUGCAGGUCGACGUCCUCCCGUUACUGCGGCCAACCCCUUCUGAGCAACCUCGCCUGCUGCAUCCUGCUGUCCUUCGCGGCCGCUGGUACGCGGGCCGCGAGCGACCCCGGUGGCCUCCGCACGCGUCGCUUCUCAACCCUACUCCUGAGCAUCCCGUGCUCUGAGAAAGGGCAUUUUUAUACACUUACGUUAUUUAACGGACGCUUUGCUCCGAAGCAACUUCCGAUGAACUCUACGUAGAGUUCAAUCAGCCCACGCACCUUAUUUACCAUGGUGACUACACUGCUAGAUACACUGCUUACACUGGCUCACUCAUCCAUACAUCAGUGGAACACACACGAUAUGGAUGAACCUGAACGGCAUGUCUUUGGAUUGCGGGAGGAAACCAGAGCACCCGGAGGAAACCCACGCAAAUCCGCACAGACCGAGCGGGGAUCGAACCCACGUCCUACACCACCCAGGCGCUGAGACAGCAGCGCUACUCGCUGUGUCGCUGUGCCACCGUACCGCCCAACAUCACAAGGCAGUUUCCCAUUAUUACUGUACGAUACUGUAGUACCGUCUAGCUGUUCGGCUCCUUUAGAUCUUUCGCAGCUGCUAAGUGCCGUAAACCUCAACAGUCCAAAGACAGGUGAGCUGGUGACCCUCGGUGGACCUGUGUGUGUUUUAUAUCGCUCUGCUACAUAAAUGGUUACUUGAUUGUAGGGAUAUUACUGCGGUAUAUCUUUACUCUAGGAAGCGUGCAAAAUCCAAAUUUGAUCGUUUAGAAACGCCUUGUUAGCUCAAGUAGGGCUAUUAAGUGAAAGUGCUUGUAAAACGGAAUUCUCGUAACUCGAGUGAGUAUAUCUCUCUCUCUCUCUCUCUCUCGGGGACGACUGCACCGUUCUUUUAAUACAACCACCUUAACUCUCCACACUGAUCAUAUAAGAACAUUUAGAAUUUGAACUUGAAAAACUACUAGGUUUUUCAUUCAGUGUUUUCAAUUAUGACGUGAAUUUGCUUUAGAAGCGACGGAUGAUUACAUAUACAAAGACAACGCCAGCUUUUAAAAAUGAUUACAGCUGGACCUCAACUUACAAACGUGGUAGGGACUCGUACCAAUGUCUCAAUAAACAAAAGUUCACUCACA